AAAGUUAAAAUUCAUUUCUCACGAGUUUAUUCUGGCACUUUGAUUCUUACCCAUUAGUUUUACCAGGUACUGUUUUCUAUGAUGUGCCUAAUCAGUUCAGGUAACUAAUUCAGUUACAGAGCCAUCAUUUAUCUGAAUUAAAUCUUUCAUUUCCUCUUUUUAAUGUAUCUUCAUUCUCAUUAACUUCUAUGAUAAGGAACUCAAUAUUUAUUAGAAAAGAUAUAUUUAAAAAUCUAUUAAAUUUCUACACCAUUUUUUUU